GCCGAGCUCGCUAACCCACAGGUAAGUGUCCUCUCCCAGACACCUUUUCUCCAUUUCACCAUCGGGUGUCGCUGGUGUCAGAAGGUCCACAGUACAGAUUCUAGAUUCCCCACGCAAGAACAGGUUGUAGACAAACAUUGCUCGUGGAGACAAUAGCAAAAAAAGUAACAACCAAAUGACACAAAUGUUGCUGUGGAUGACAAUCGCCUUUUGUUGGAUGACAGUAGGCUUGGCGUGCAGAUGCCUGCACCCUACACCUGCCGACGAAGACUUCUGCAAGAGUGACAUCGUGUUUCGCGGAAGACCUGUGGUGAAUACAGGACAAAUGAAUCAUCGCGGAUCUACACUUUUGAAGUGGACGAGAUUUUCUGGUCAAUCAGACGUUUUGCUGGAAGAACAAGGUUUAAUGUGACUACCUCAAACGACAGCUGUGGUGAACAAUUUGGUUUGAACAUACCUUUCGUCAUUGCUGCCGGCGCAUGGAAGGACAACUGUCCACUGCACUGUGCGCAGGAAACGCGGAGUGGAACAGUCUCGACAUGAACCGGAAAAGGUUUUUCACAAGCCGCCUACGAAAGCUGUGUGCUUGAACAAACCCUUCAACCAAGUUAUUUCACAAAUCACGUGACCAGUUCGUCGACAUCACGUGACCGACUCACGACAGCACAUAACGUCACGUGACGGCAUCGUACCCAGGGCAACCUGUGUUUGUAUCACAUGGAAUAAACUCGGCUUUUGUUGUCAAAACCAGUCGUUGUUUUUCGCUCUGAAAAAAAUAUGUUGACCUAAUAAAAUUCAUUCAACAA